rnacentral:rRNA from 1 species
UACGGGAGGCAGCAGUGGGGAAUAUUGCACAAUGGGCGAAAGCCUGAUGCAGCAACGCCGCGUGAGUGAUGAAGGCCUUCGGGUCGUAAAACUCUGUCCUCAAGGAAGAUAAUGACGGUACUUGAGGAGGAAGCCCCGGCUAACUACGUGCCAGCAGCCGCGGUAAU